rnacentral:rRNA from 1 species
GGAACGAACGCUGGCGGCAUGCCUAAUACAUGCAAGUCGAACGAACUCUUCGGAGUUAGUGGCGCACGGGUGCGUAACGCGUGGGAAUCUGCCCCUUGGUUCGGAAUAACAGUUGGAAACGACUGCUAAUACCGGAUGAUGACGAAAGUCCAAAGAUUUAUCGCCAAGGGAUGAGCCCGCGUAGGAUUAGCUAGUUGGUGAGGUAAAGGCUCACCAAGGCAACGAUCCUUAGCUGGUCUGAGAGGAUGAUCAGCCACACUGGGACUGAGACACGGCCCAGACUCCUACGGGAGCAGCAGUAGGAUAUGACAGUGGCGAAGCUGAUCCAGCAAUGCCGCGUGAGUGAUGAGGCUUAGGUGUAAGUCUCUUUACCGAGAGUAGAUAAUGACAGUAGUCGGAAG